rnacentral:lncRNA from 1 species
GGUCCCACUGUAUAGUUCAGGAUGGCCUCAAACUCAUGGAGACCCUGCUUCCAAGAGCUGGAAUUAGAGGCAUGCACCGCCACCCUCGAAGCACUGACCUCUGGACAGACCCUCACAACUUCUAACUGUGUGUGAAAACAGCUGUCUGGUUGUCUCCAGGCCUUCAGAUUUCAGUUCCUCUGCACAUAACCCAGCUAAGUGAGUACAUCCCACUGACCUUUGGGAAGAACAGAGCCUCUCUGCACCAGCUCAGCCCUUCUCAGAAUGCUUCUCCUUGCUCACAACCAUCGGCCUCAGACUGGAGUAAAAGCCCCCCAGGGGUGGGUGGGCAGAAGUCCCCAAACCAUGGGAUGAAACAGCACAUUUUCCUACAGCAUUCAUCUCAUGCAGUGGUAAGCAAUUUGUGGAGUUUGUUGCUUUUACUAAGCAGCACUACAGAACAGAAUGAUAAAUUGCAUUAAUUUUCAUGAUAAAAGCCCUCAUAGAAAUAGCAUCAUUCCAGGUUUCACUCCCCUCUGCUGCUUGAGAGAAACCAUACCAAAUGCUCCGGCCUAGAGGAUUCACCUGUUAUCUAGAAGUCCCAGCACUUCCCAGCGCUCUAUCAUCCCCUCUCUUCCUCAAUGCAAAUUAUUUUUUUGCCAAGAUGCCUUCUGCCCAUUUCCCCCCAGUUAGCAGCUUUGUCCUGUUGCUCGUGAUGGUCGUCUGACUUCAAUGUCUGCUCCUCCUCCUUCCUACUUUCCAAACCUGGUCGCAUGUUCAAGUCCAAUAUCCCACCUCCGACCACAGCGCUGAGCCUGCCUGGCCUAGGAGAAAGGGCCAAGGACCAUGCAAUAAAUGUGGCCACCUCAUGGAGACAGGAUCCAUGAAUGUGAAAGAGAAGCCAAUAAAAAACACCCUUAGAGGCUCACAGGGGAAUUCUCCCAUCACAUGCACAAAAAGCAAACCCACAAACCUGACAGCGGUCAGAGAAGGCCCCAGAACUAUUGCUGAAACACCAAAAGCUGCUUCUCAUGAAAGCUGAGACUCAGUGCCGAUGCUGGGACUGGGAAUUUGCAAGAGAAGGUGGGUGCUGAGCCCUCUGUGGAGAUUGUUUCUCCCUCUAAGGAAGCAGAAGGUCAGCUCUGGGGCCGGCAGGAGGCCAGAGCCCUCCUUGCUGACUUAGCAGAGAGCACCCGCCCAUCCAUCACCACCCACAGCUCUGUCCUUCCGCCUCGACCCAGGGUCCUUCCCUGACACUCGCCUCACCCCUCCAGGCCCACGUCUCCUCCAAAUGCUUAGAGCAGGUUUUCUGUUUCACUUCCGCCCAGCCUGGGAUGGCCAUUUCUGUGUCACUGGGCUGUCAUUCCCCAAGGGAUAGCACCCCUUUUGGGGCGGCAGCCUGUUUUUCCCCACAGGCCCCCCUAAAAUUUCUUGAUUAGGUUGAUUUCUUAAGCCUAAUAAAAAAUA